GUUAUUUAUGUCUACUGAGUCGGUGUGACAGCAGUGUUCACCUCUUCCCAAUCAAGGAGGUUACGGUGGUCACAGGAGAUCGGCCAAGGUCUCGCUGGCCAAUGAGUGACUCCUUUGCCUCUUAACUGCCGGAUCCCAACCAGCUGUGUUGCUAUCUUGCUAUCCUUCUGGAAUAUCUCAAAGCACUAGAACUCUUCUUCCCGCUGCCGGGGGCCACGGUGACCUUAAAGCACAGGUGAAAGAUGGUUCCAGCUUUUUCAUUCACAAGCAGAACUGAGCACGUGUCAUUAUGCUCUGUCGGCAAGUUUCCCCCAACUUGUACAGCCGCUCUGUUUCAAUCUCGGUUCCGCUCUGCCUCCUGCAGAACGGACAAGUCUUGUGAGAGGAAAUCUCUCUCACCAGCAUGCACAGCUGUCUCCAGGGAACCAAAUAUUUUCCCCUGUGGCCCUGCCUCAGCAUUGCUUCUUGGACUCGCUGUUCUGGAAUAACCUUUCUGAAGGCGGUGAGGGGCUGGGUCAUUAAAAAAAAAAAAAAA